rnacentral:misc_RNA from 1 species
AACUAAUGUAACCUGUAUUUAUUCGUUAAAAGAAGGAAUGGUUCUAGUUUAGCAAUUACAAACUUCUGCUAUUUCAAUUCAACUCAAAAAUAAAGAAACGAAAGAGAAAGAAAUGGUUGUCAAGCAUCCCUCAGGAACUAAUUCACUUGCCAACCAAGUUAGCCCCAGCCCACGGCUGCCAAAUAACAAAAAUCUUCUCUCGUUUAGCUGCUGAAAGUGAAACAGUCCCUAUAUAUAAUGGAUUUGGAUCCCCUUUUCUGUUAGCAUCUCUAGGUGGCCUUCCCUCCUUAAUUCCCUCUAACAGAGUAACAGUCAUGCUAACCAUUUCCAGCUCUUCCCCUGUUUUGUUACUGCUGCCAGUGUCCCUUCUCCAGAGCCUUCCAUCCUGUUUAUGUAAUCUUCUUUCAUCCUUCCGCCAGCUCUUCUAAUUCUUUUAGUAUAAACCCACAUUGUACCCAGGUUUUAUCCAUUUCCUGCUAGCCCAUAGAUUGAUCACGAUCCUUAACAAACACCUUGAGGAAUUACAAAAACAAAAUAUUGUGAUAAAAACAUAGGGUAGUGUUCGAUUGACUAAUGAAUAAAGUAGUUGCAUACCUCACAAAAAUUCAGUGGAGAUCUGCGUGAAUAUUCCCUGUAAGGACAUUCAACAUUCACGGACCAAGCAUUGAUCGAGU